rnacentral:rRNA from 1 species
AUUGAACGCUGGCGGCAGGCCUAACACAUGCAAGUCGAGCGGAUGAGAGGAGCUUGCUUCUUGAUUCAGCGGCGGACGGGUGAGUAAUGCCUAGGAAUCUGCCUGGUAGUGGGGGACAACGUUUCGAAAGGAACGCUAAUACCGCAUACGUCCUACGGGAGAAGGCAGGGGACCUUCGGGCCUUGCGCUAUCAGAUGAGCCUAGGUCGGAUUAGCUAGUUGGUGAGGCAAUGGCUCACCAAGGCGACGAUCCGUAACUGGUCUGAGAGGAUGAUCAGUCACACUGGAACUGAGACACGGUCCAGACUCCUACGGGAGGCAGCAGUGGGGAAUAUUGGACAAUGGGCGAAAGCCUGAUCCAGCCAUGCCGCGUGUGUGAAGAAGGUCUUCGGAUUGUAAAGCACUUUAAGUUGGGAGGAAGGGUUGUACGUUAAUACCGUGCAAUUUUGACGUUACCGACAGAAUAAGCACCGGCUAACUCUGUGCCAGCAGCCGCCGCAG